GUAGCUGCCUGGAGCUUGAGGGGGUGGGGAGUACUGUGUCUGGAGUAGGCUGCAACCUUGUAGCACCUUGUUCGGAGCAGUGCAGGCAGGAAUCUGGGGAGAAGAGAAAGAGCUCUGUCUGAGUAGCUGAGAUGGAGCUGUGGCUGUGAGGAAUUGGCCCAGGGAAAUGCAGCAAUGGAGAGGCAAAGGAAUACAGCGCAGCGGAUGCUACACACAGACACGAGGCCCAGGACCUUCUCCUCCCCAGCUAAUUGGAAGCCUUUGAGGAGGACCGCUGGGGGGUCCCGACGACUGCUGGAUUUCAUCACAGGCGGGGAGACCCUCUGGGAUGAUGGACACCAGGAAAGCAGGACCCUCCACAGGUGGAGUCCAGUAUCGCAGGAUCUAGUCACAUGCCCUUGCAUGCUUCGAGUCAUAGAAGCCAUCACUUGUAUCCUAGCUGAAUCAUCCGCAGGAGAGCCCAUCAGGCGAGGAUGAGCUUUUCCCAUGGCCCAUUGUUUUCACUGAGGGGCCAUAACCUUGAAAAGUCCCUUCCAAUCUAGCCAGCACACUGUGAUGUAAAUUAACUUGUGGGAGUUACCCAGGAGCAAGCACAUUUGAAAUACAGAUGCAAAGUCUAUUAACUUCAGAUACAAAAAUGAUACACAUACAAAUAGGAUAAUCGUAUUCAGCAAACCACAACUUUUCCAAUGCCACCUCACAUGACACAUGUACAAAUCCUAUCAUAAUCCUAUCACUAUGAUGAAUAUGGGAUGCAGAGUGUUACCUUGGGGCACAGAUUGUCACACUGAGGUGCACCAAUUCCAGAAGCCCCUGCAUGCUGCAGAGGAAGGCAUCUCCCUGCC